CCAUAUUUAAGUGGGGCCCACAUGCCGUAUCAUAUCCAUGACCUUUGUCCUUGCGUUGCCGCCGGCGGCGGCGGCUACGGCCAUGGAGAUCUCACGCGACCAUUUGCCGGUGAGGUCGGCUGCUCCGCCUCCGCCUCGGCAUCUACGCCUGAUUGGAUCCCCACCCCUAUCUCCACUGACUGUGCUAUCGCGUUUCCGGCGGUGGUUGAUCGAGGCGGUAGCCCGUGCGGCGCGCGAGAUUCCGCCCGUCCACGGAUUUCCGGUCGCCAUCGCGGGGAUUCGUCUUCUCCGGCCAACCCCUCGCUGCGCGAUCCUGCGCCGCCCGUCCUCGGGCAGGAUCUGGUCGGGGUCGCUUGUGGGGGAUGUUGAGUUGUAAGAAGACCAGAUGCAUCUGCUCUGAUUUUAGUGGCAUGUAUAACUAUAACCUGUCAAAGAGCAGCAAAAGAAAUGCCUCGUAGCUGUGUGAUACAUAACUUUGCCAGGAUAUCUCUCUGUUUAUGCACACAGACUGCUAUGGCAUUUUUAACCGUUUGCUCAGUUGCUCUUACGUGCAUUUCUGCUGGCAUAAGAUGGUGGCAUGGUGGAGGUUCUGUUGUUAAACCCUGGUAUCAGGACUUGAUCGAGCAAUUUGGUAUGUUCGGUGAAAAUUCAUGCUCAUUUGAGUGAUUGUACAGUACUCCGAAGUUGGUGUUUUCUAUGCUCCGGUAAUUGUGGAUCACUGGUAUAAUGAGGAAAUCAACCUAACGUAUAAUUGCCAUGGUCUGUAUUUGUGUGUAUGUGGAGACUGGUGUGUGUACUAAUUUUCUGGAAUGUCAUUUAAUCAGAAGAGUUGUUUAGAAGAGGCAUAGGCAAAUUCUCUUGUAAGGCUUAUGUAGUUCGAGUGUUUAACAUGGUUAUAACAGUAGUGUUUUCUAUGACGACAUUUAUGAUUAAACUGUGUCUACAAUUCCUGCCUUUUGUGCAGAAAAAGAAAA